AAGAGGAACACCCUGCCACACUUUCCAGAUGGAGGCCUACACAACCUAGCGAGAGCACUGCCCACACCCCCUGGCACAAAAGAGGGGGUCCCAGUAUGCCUAGGGUUCCACCUGUGGUUAAUCUGCUAAAGUGGCAGUAAAAAGGGGUUGCAGAACGAGGGUAUGCAUGGUUGACAUAGACCGCUUACUGGGAGAACAAGGUGGUGUGAGAAGAUGGGAUUGAGG